rnacentral:rRNA from 1 species
GACGAAGGGGGCUAGCGUUGUUCGGAAUUACUGGGCGUAAAGCGCGUGUAGGCGGUUGCCCAAGUCGGGUGUGAAAGCCUUGAGCUCAACUCAAGAAAUGCACUCGGUACUGGGUGACUAGAGGACCGGAGAGGAUAGUGGAAUUCCCAGUGUAGUGGUGAAAGUACGUAGAGAUUGGGGAAGAACACCAGUGGCGAAGGCGGCUAUCUGGACG